rnacentral:rRNA from 1 species
UCCGAGCGGGGGAUAACAUUCCCAAGGGAGUGCUACUACCGCAUCAAGACCACGGUGUCGAAUGACGCUAAGGUAAAAGCUGGCCAAUUCAUGAUAGCUACCAAUUGGAGAUGAGCCCGCGGCCCAUCAGGCAGUUGGCAUGGUAUUGGCCUACCACACCGAAUGACGGGUAGCUGGUCUGAUAGGAUGAUCAGCCACACUGUAACUGAUACACGGUCCAAACUCCUACAGGAGGCAUUUAUGGGGAAUCUUGCGCAAUGGACGAGAGUCUGACUCAACGACGCCGCGUGGGUGAUGAAAGCCUUCGGGUUGUACAGCCCUGUGGGUGAGGACCAACAUGUGCUACCUAGUACGAUGCUUGAUGACCGGCCUCACUUAGUUUGCACCGGCUAAAUCUGUGCCAUCAGCCGCGGUUUGACAGAGGGUGCUAACGUUGCUCGGAAUUACUGGGCCUAUGGUGUGUGUAGGCGGACACUCGAGUCUGAUGUGAAUCCCCUGGGCUCAAUCCAUGAAGUGCACCCGAUCAUCCUCGGAUCGAGUACAGGAGUGGUUGCUGGAAUACUCGGUGUAGAGGUGAAAUUGGUAGUAGUAGAGAGGAACAUCGGUGGCGAAGACGCCCAACUAGACGUGUACUGACGCUGAGACUCGAAAGCUUGGGGAGCAAACAUGAUUAGAUACCUUGGUAGUUCAGGCUGUAAAAGACGGAUGUUAGUUGUCGCGGGGUUUGUCUCCUGCGGUGCGGUAGCCAACGCAUU